UACAUAGCCGACCUGAGAGGGUGAUCGGCCACACUGGGGCUGAGACACGGCCCAGACUCCUACGGGAGGCAGCAGUAGGGAAUCUUCGGCAAUGGACGGAAGUCUGACCGAGCAACGCCGCGUGAGUGAAGAAGGUUUUCGGAUCGUAAAGCUCUGUUGUAAGAGAAGAACGAGUGUGAGAGUGGAAAGUUCACACUGUGACGGUAACUUACCAGAAAGGGACGGCUAACUACGUGCCAGCAGCCGCGGUAAUACGUAGGUCCCGAGCGUUAUCCGGAUUUAUUGGGCGUAAAGCGAGCGCAGGCGGUUAGAUAAGUCUGAAGUUAAAGGCUGUGGCUUAACCAUAGUACGCUUUGGAAACUGUUUAACUUGAGUGCAGAAGGGGAGAGUGGAAUUCCAUGUGUAGCGGUGAAAUGCGUAGAUAUAUGGAGGAACACCGGUGGCGAAAGCGGCUCUC
rnacentral:rRNA from 1 species